UAGGGAAUCUUCGGCAAUGGGGGCAACCCUGACCGAGCAACGCCGCGUGAGUGAAGAAGGUUUUCGGAUCGUAAAGCUCUGUUGUAAGAGAAGAACGUGUGUGAGAGUGGAAAGUUCACACAGUGACGGUAACUUACCAGAAAGGGACGGCUAACUACGUGCCAGCACCCGCUGUAAUCCGUAGGUCCCGAGCGUUGUCCGGAUUUAUUGGGCGUAAAGCGAGCGCAGGCGGUUUAAUAAGUCUAAAAGUAAAGUCAGUGGCUUAACCAUUGUUCGCGUAGGAAACUGUUAAAAUUGAGUGCAGAAGGAGAGAGUGGAAUUCCAUGUGUAGCGGUGAAAUGCGUAGAUAUAUGGAGGAACACCGGUGGCGAAAGCGGCUCCCUGGUCUGUAACUGACGCUGAGGCUCGAAAGCGUGGGGAGCAAACAGG
rnacentral:rRNA from 1 species